GACGAACGCUAGCGGCGUGCCUAAUACAUGCAAGUUGAGCGCUGAAGGUUGGUACUUGUACCAACUGGAUGAGCAGCGAACGGGUGAGUAACGCGUGGGGAAUCUGCCUUUGAGCGGGGGACAACAUUUGGAAACGAAUGCUAAUACCGCAUAAAAACUUUAAACACAAGUUUUAAGUUUGAAAGAUGCAAUUGCAUCACUCAAAGAUGAUCCCGCGUUGUAUUAGCUAGUUGGUGAGGUAAAGGCUCACCAAGGCGAUGAUACAUAGCCGACCUGAGAGGGUGAUCGGCCACAUUGGAACUGAGACACGGCCCAAACUCCUACGGGAGGCAGCAGUAGGGAAUCUUCGGCAAUGGACGAAAGUCUGACGGAGCAACGCCGCGUGAGUGAAGAAGGUUUUCGGAUCGUAAAACUCUGUUGGUAGGGAAGAACGUUGGUGAGAGUGGAAAGCUCAUCAAGUAAGGGUACCAACCCAGAAAGGGACGGCUAACUACGU
rnacentral:rRNA from 1 species